rnacentral:rRNA from 1 species
UACGUAGGGUGCGAGCGUUGUCCGGAAUUACUGGGCGUAAAGAGCUCGUAGGUGGUUUGUCGCGUUGUCCGUGAAAUUCCUUGGCUUAACUGGGGGCGUGCGGGCGAUACGGGCAGACUGGAGUACUGCAGGGGAGACUGGAAUUCCUGGUGUAGCGGUGGAAUGCGCAGAUAUCAGGAGGAACACCGGUGGCGAAGGCGGGUCUCUGGGCAGUAACUGACGCUGAGGAGCGAAAGCGUGGGGAGCGAACAGG